rnacentral:lncRNA from 1 species
UCUGCGAUAUCUGAAUGCAAAUGCACAGUUAAUAAAAUAUUAAGGACAAACAUUCAAGGCCAAAAAGCAAACAAACAAGUCCAAACAAAGCCAUGUCAAGACACCACUGCGAAAUAUUUAACCCUUCGAAAAUAUUCACUUUAGAAAAAAAAACCGGUUUUAAAAAAAUACAGGUAAAUCUUGAAGUUUAUACAAAUGUAGUAAGAAGAAGUGAUAUUCCAAAUAAUCAAAGCUGGUACAUAGAAAAGAUCCAUAUAAAUAUAAAAUAACAAAAAAGCAUUAUCAACAUUAUCAACAGGUCGAAUUAAAAAUACGAUUUGAGAGUACUCGCAGUUACUGACAGCUGGUUAAAAGCCAAAAACAAUUAAUAAUAAAAAAAUCAUGCAUCAGAG